AGAGUUUGAUCCUGGCUCAGGACGAACGCUAGUGGUGUGCCUAAUACAYUGUAUGUCGAACGAGAAAGUUCCUUCGGGAACAAGUACAGUGGCGYWCGGGUGAGUAAUAUGUAGAUAAUCUGCCCCUAAGUUUGGGACAACCAACCGAAAGGUUGGCUAAUACCGAAUGAGACCCCACUUUCCACGGAAAGAGAGGUUAAAGAUUUAUCGCUUAGGGAUGAGUCUACAUCCGAUUAGCUUGUUGGUGAGGUAAAGGCUCACCAAGGCUGGGAUCGGUAGCUGGUCUGAGAGGAUGUCCAGCCACACUGGAACUGAGACACGGUCCAGACUUCUACGGAAGGCAGCAGUAGGGAAUUUUGCGCAAUGGGGGAAACCCUGACGCAGCAACACCACGUGAGUGAUGAAGGCCUUCGGGUUGUAAAACUCUGUUCUUAGGGAAUAAAAAGAUGAAGGUACCUAAGGAGAAAGGACUGGCUAACUUCGUGCCAGCAGCCGCGGUAAUACGAAGGGUCCAAGCGUUGUUCGGAACCAUUGGGCGUAAAGUGGGUGUAGGUGGUUAAGUAAGUCAGAAGUGAAAGCCCUGAGCUCAACUCAGGAAGUGCUUUUGAUACUGCUUGACUAGAAUGUAGGAGAGGAUAGUGGAAUUCCUGGUGUAGUAGUGAAAUGCGUAGAUAUCAGGAGGAACAUCGGAUGAGAAGUCGGCUAUCUGGCCUAUUAUUGACACUGAGACCCGAAAGCGUGGGAGCAACAGGAUUAGAUACCCUGGUAGUCACGCCGUAAACGAUGGAUACUAGACGUUGGUGGUUUUGACCCCAUCAGUGUCGUAGCUAACGCGUUAAGUAUCCCGCCUGGGGAGUACGGUCGCAAGAUUAAAACUCAAAGAAAUUGACGGGGGCCCGCACAAGCGGUGGAGCAUGUGGUUUAAUUCGAUGAUACGCGCAGAACCUUACCUAGGCUUGACUUGUAGGGGAAUAGACUCAGAAAUGAGCUAGCCUUCGGGCCCCUAUGCAGGUGCUGCAUGGUUGUCGUCAGCUCGUGUCGUGAGAUGUUGGGUUAAGUCCCGCAACGAGCGCAACCCCUAUCUUUAGUUGCCAGCAUUUAGUUGGGCACUCUAGAGAGACUGCCUGCGUUAAGCAGGAGGAAGGCGGGGAUGACGUCAAAUCCUCAUGGCCCUUAUGCCUGGGGCUACACACGUGCUACAAUGGUUGGUACAGAGGGUAGCGAACCCGCGAGGGGGAGCCAAUCCUUAAAGCCAACUUCAAUUCGGAUUGCAGUCUGAAACUCGACUGCAUGAAGUUGGAAUCGCUAGUAAUCGCGGAUCAGCAAUGCCGCGGUGAAUUCGUUCCUGGGCCUUGUACACACCGCCCGUCACACCAUGAAAGUUGGUUUCACCGGAAGCCGCCGCGCCAACCGCAAGGAGGCAKACGUCCAAGGUGGGAUUGAUGAUUGGGGUGAAGUCGUAACAAGGUAACC
rnacentral:rRNA from 1 species